rnacentral:rRNA from 1 species
AUUGAACGCUGGCGGCAUGCUUUACACAUGCAAGUCGAACGGCAACACGGGGGCAACCCUGGUGGCGAGUGGCGAACGGGUGAGUAAUACAUAGGAACGUAUCCUGAAAUGGGGGAUAGCUCGGCGAAAGCCGGAUUAAUACCGCAUACGAUCUACGGAUGAAAGCAGGGGAUUCGCAAGAACCUUGCGUUUCUGGAGCGGCCUAUGUCUGAUUAGCUAGUUGGCGGGGAAAAGCCCACCAAGGCGACGAUCAGUAGCUGGUCUGAGAGGAUGAUCAGCCACACUGGGACUGAGACACGGCCCAGACUCCUACGGGAGGCAGCAGUGGGGAAUUUUGGACAAUGGGGGCAACCCUGAUCCAGCCAUGCCGCGUGAGUGAAGAAGGCCUGG